AUGAGUGCUAUGAGCUGGAAGUGUCGAGGGCUUGGGAACCCUGCGACAGUUCAUGAGCUUUGCAAGCUGGUGAAGCAAGAAGGACCCACUCUGUUAUUCGUCAUGGAAACGAAGAUCAGGGGAAAAUGAGUAGAAGAUUUGAAAACCACUUUAGGAUUUCAUGGUUGUUUUGCCGUUGAUAGUGACAGGCUUAGUGGAGGUAUCGCUCUUUUCUGGUCAAAAGAUGCCAAUGUAAACUUGGAAAAUUUCAGCAGAUCUCAUAUUGAUGUGAAGGUCACACAAAAUAAUAAAAGUUGGUGCUUUACUGGUUUUUACAGCGAGCACCGCGUGGAGAAUCAACACCACAGCUGGCGUUUCCUUUGUACUCUUUUUUCUAUCCAGCAUAGGGUAUGGAUGUGCAUGGGUGAUUUUAAUGAAACCCUACAUGCGGAUGAGCACUUUGGCGUGAGAGACAAAUGCGUGCUUUCCGUGAGGCAAUUUCAGGUUGCGCGCUUCAAGACUUGGGGUGGCACGACGUACCCUUCACAUGGGAUAACGCACAGCAAGGCAACAUGA
rnacentral:rRNA from 1 species